GACGAACCGUCCUAACGUUGUUCGGAAUCACUGGGCUUAAAGGGCGCGUAGGCGGGCGAGCAAGUCUAGGGUGAAAUCUUUCGGCUUAACCGGAAAAUAGCCUUGGAUACUGCUGGUCUCGAGGGAGGUAGGGGUCGUUGGAACUUCCGGUGGAGCGGUGAAAUGCGUUGAUAUCGGAAGGAACGCCGGUGGCGAAAGCGAACGACUGGACCUUUUCUGACGCUGAGGAGCGAAAGCCAGGGGAGCAAACGGG
rnacentral:rRNA from 1 species